AUCCAACUGACGAGUCUCAAAUAGGACGAAAUUUACCUGUUGGAU
rnacentral:hammerhead_ribozyme from 1 species